AUGGCCUGUGCACCAGCAGAAGAAGAGAUUGAGAAGAAAUCUCACAAAGAAGUACAGACAACUCCGAUCUCCCAAGUCAGGUCGCUGCAGCUUGCUGUACUGCAGAACCGUCCAUUCAAAGAAACACUGACAUUAUUAGAUGUGGAUAAUCAACAAGAGGGGUCGAAGAGCCAAGCUCAGGUCAUGAAGAGAAAAUCCAACUUGAAAGCUUCUUGGAUGACAGAAAAGACAAGUGUUGAUUUAUCCUCAACGGGACAGGAGGUGAAACACGAAACCAAGACCAAGAUUGUUCAUUUUUACAGCUUUCAUAAAAACCCCAAUGCGAGAAACAACAGCGUCUCACCUCAGACUGGAAAUCAGGAGGACACAACAGGAAGACCCAAAGAAAAGGAUAUGCCAUCCCAGAUGGAGAAUGACACGUUGCAAGACGAUGAGACGUACAGAGCCAACCCGGUGUUCAUUUAUGAGGAUGACACUCUGUUGGCAACAGAGUUAAAGAUUACUGAGCCAGAGGACAGCCAGGGCAUGUCAGGACAUUUCAUAGACAAGAAACUCUCAUCUCCAGAAGAAGCUUUGAGCAGCUCCAUUUUCAUGAACAACCCAGUUUUUUCAGAAAAUACAGUAACAUCUGGGGAGGAAGUGGAUCAAAACAAUACUAAAGAGCGUCCCCGUCCAGAUGGCUCACAAGUAAGCAGCUUCAGAUGUGUGGAAGUUCAAGAACGUGACGCCACGGCUGACACUGAACGAUCCCCAAAUUUCAGUGAAUGGCAGAUUCCGAAAUCAAAAGACAACUUUAACAAAGUUAGAAAGAGUCCAAGUAAAACCUACCCCCCAAACAUUCUACCUCAAGAAUCCUUAUGUGCCAAGGAAUUUAGGCUGAGAGAGUCUCCAUUAAAAACCUUUCCAAUAGACAUCGUUCCCGAGGUGAAAGUUGCACAAGAGCCGCAGCAGAAGAUAAAGUCAGAGUCCAGACAGAUGGAGAGUUUCUCUCCUGUGAGAAAGCAGAGGGAGCUACCCAACACCAACACUGAUGAGGCUAUAAGUUUCUCCAGGUCAAAAAAAAUGAAGACCAGCUAUUCUCUUCCUCUUCAGCUGGAUCAGGUAAAUUAAGUUUUAAAUUAAGACUUAUACUCCGCAGCAACUUAUAUUAGAACUAAAUUGAAAUAAAUACAUUGUAAACCCUCCUGUUAUGUUCAUUUAUGAGGAACA
rnacentral:lncRNA from 1 species